AGGACGAACGCUGGCGGCGUGCUUAACACAUGCAAGUCGAGCGGUAAGGCCCUUUGGGGUACACGAGCGGCGAACGGGUGAGUAACACGUGGGUGACCUGCCCCCUACUCUGGGAUAAGCCUGGGAAACUGGGUCUAAUACCGGAUAUGACCUCUGGUUGCAUGACUGGUGGUGGAAAGUGUGUUCUUGAUUGAGCACCUCGGUGGGGGAUGGGCCCGCGGCCUAUCAGCUUGUUGGUGGGGUGAUGGCCUACCAAGGCGACGACGGGU
rnacentral:rRNA from 1 species